UCAACCAAACAGAGGACGUUAGUAAAGGCCUCUGAACAGAGAUUUACUGGACGUUACUUGUGCAUCUGUGUAGGUACGGGCCCUGUACACAGAAGACUCCAGAAGAGGGUGUCAGAGUCUCCAGAGCUAGAGUCAUGGGCAGAAUGUGUGCAAGGAACUGAAUUCAGGUCCUCCGCACGAGCAGCCUGCCACGCCUGAUCUUCACAUGGGUUUCACUCCACGUCCAGGGUGUCCAGGACUGUCGCGGGGACUGUUUUUAUCUGGUUCUAUGUACAGCUGCCCAGGGCCAGAGCUGGAGAUGUGGGCUUGGGGCCUAUGUAACCCAGAGCCAGUAGACACAGUUCCCCAGGAGAGAAACAUUCUGUAGGUGCGGAGGGGAGUGACUUGAUACAUCUGAAGACUAGCAGGUGCUCAGAGUUAGAGGAAACCACUUGGAUUUGUGAGCUUUCCCGGAGGCUCCAGUCAAACCCUUUAGAAGCUUGAGGGUUAGAGUACAGGGAGAGUGUCCAUCAGGAACCUAGACAGGUUUGGUGAAUUUCUCAGGUUCCAGUGUUAGAGAAGAACGAGGGCAAACAUCAAAGAACCUCUGUGUUGCUUGCAGCAACUCUCCUGUCCGUGACGCCUGGGCACCACAUCCGGCCAGUCAACAUUUCUCAAAUGAGUGAAUGAGUAAUACUCAGCUAGGUGCUCACACAGGUGCUGCCUCAUUUGACCUUACAACCACCUCUGAGGGAGGGGAGAGAUUGGUAUCCUUUCUUCCUGGGGAGUGCCUGAUGCUCAGAGGGGUGAAAUGACUACCCAGAACGUCACUGUUCACAGACACAGCUAUUUCAGCAAAGGAUGAGCAAAGAUCUUCGGCACAGAGCAGUUCUGAUUCCGGAUUGAAACCGACGUUGGUAUGCUCUAAGUUUCAAAGAGUGAAUGACGGAGAAUCUAGUCUCACGAUAAAAGGGAGAUCUAGGCACUGGCAGGACUUGCUGUCCUGGUAAAGACGUGCUGGCCCCGGAGGUCUGCGCUAAUGCUGAGAAUCAGAGACCAGACACUCUCUGCUGGCACGGCCCACAUGCCUGGCACAGCUCUUGCAAAGUUGUCUGCAGAACUGCAGGCUCAGAAGCAUGGGCUGGCUCCGUGGGGCACGGGGUAGCCUUUCUCCUUGACUUUCCUGGUGUUCACCAAAAUUCCCUGUGACUGCUACAACCUCCCUAGCCUUGCUGCUCUGGACUUGAGGUUCAUUUUCCCCAGGACUUAAUCCUUGUGUGUGUGAGGUGAUUUGAAUACCAGUCACCAUGCUGGGCCUAAAGCUCACACUGAGUUUUUUUUAAUUAAAAUUUUUAUUUUAUUAAUAAAAUAAUUGAUCUUUUCUUUGUGACUUGAAAUGCAGCCUGCCG